rnacentral:sRNA from 1 species
UCAGUUUACAUUCGCACAGAUAACACAGA